CCCCGCCCGCCGCGGCCCGAGGAGUCGGCGAGCUGCCCCCGCGCCCCGGCCGGAAACAUGGUUUCCCUUUGCGGGAAUCCCUGGAGCAUCACCGGCUUGCAGCCAUGCAGCGGACGCAUUUUCCUUUGCAGAGCGAAAAGCCAAUCUUUAGGUCGCCAAGUUCAUCUCACUUUUCCUUUCAAUAAAACUUUUUUUUUUU